rnacentral:rRNA from 1 species
UACGGAGGGGGCUAGCGUUGUUCGGAAUCACUGGGCUUAAAGGGAGCGUAGGCGGGCUAUCAAGUCUGGGGUGAAAUCCCACGGCUCAACCGUGGAACUGCCUUAGAUACUGACGGCCUCGAGGGAGAUAGGGGCAUGCGGAACUGUAGGUGGAGCGGUGAAAUGCGUUGAUAUCUACAGGAACUCCGGUGGCGAAAGCGGCGUGCUGGAUCUCUUCUGACGCUGAGGCUCGAAAGCUAGGGGAGCAAACGGG